rnacentral:rRNA from 1 species
AAUCAACGCUGGCGGCGUGCCUCAGACAUGCAAGUCGAACGAUUAAGACUCCCUUCGGGGAGUGCAUAAAGUGGCGCACGGGUGAGUAACACGUAAGUAAUCUACCUUCGAGUGGGGAAUAACGUUCGGAAACGAACGCUAAUACCGCAUAAUGCAGCGGCAUCGCAAGAUGACAGUUGUUAAAGGAGCAAUCCGCUUGAAGAGGAGCUUGCGGCAGAUUAGCUAGUUGGUAAGGUAACGGCUUACCAAGGCUAAGAUGUGUAUCCGGCCUGAGAGGGCGGUCGGACACACUGACACUGAAUAACGGGUCAGACUCCUACGGGAGGCAGCAGUCGGGAAUUUUGGGCAAUGGGCGAAAGCCUGACCCAGCAACGCCGCGUGAAGGAUGAAGUAUUUCGGUAUGUAAACUUCGAAAGAAUAGGAAGAAUUAAUGACGGUACUAUUUAUAAGGUCCGGCUAACUACGUGCCAGCCGCCGCGGUAAUAC